rnacentral:rRNA from 1 species
UACGGGGGGAGCAAGCGUUGUUCGGUUUUACUGGGCGUAAAGGGCGCGUAGGCGGUCAGCACAAGUCAGUUGUGAAAUCUCCGGGCUUAACCCGGAAAGGUCAACUGAUACUGUGCGACUAGAGUGCGGAAGGGGCAACUGGAAUUCUUGGUGUAGCGGUGAAAUGCGUAGAUAUCAAGAGGAACACCUGCGGCGAAGGCGGGUUGCUGGGCCGACACUGACGCUGAAGCGCGAAAGUCAGGGGAGCGAACGGG